rnacentral:rRNA from 1 species
AAAGGACUUACUCUUCGGAGUGAGAGCGUACACAGGUGCUGCAUGGCUGUCGUCAGCUCGUGUCGUGAGAUGUGGUUAAGUCCCGCAACGAGCGCAACCCUGCAUUCAGUUGCCAUCGGUAAGGCCGGGCACUCUGGAUGGACUGCCGGCGACAAGCCGGAGGAAGGUGGGGACGACGUCAAGUCAUCAUGGCCCUUAUGUCCAGGGCGACACACGUGCUACAAUGGCCGGCACAACGGGAAGCGAAGGGGCGACCCUGAGCGGAUCCCACAAAAGCCGGUCUCAGUUCGGAUUGCAGUCUGCAACUCGACUGCAUGAAGUUGGAAUCGCUAGUAAUCGUGGAUCAGCCAAGCCGCGGUGAAUACGUUCCCGGGCCUU